rnacentral:lncRNA from 1 species
AUGGCCAAGUCCAAGAACCACACUGCACAUAACAAGUCCCCAAAAUAGCACAGAAAUGCCAUCAAGAAACAUCAGUUGCAAAGAUACGAAUUUCUUUAGGGGGUGGACCCCAAGUUCCUUUGGCUCUUUGCCAAGCAGCACAAGAAGGAUCUGAAGAAAAUGCAGGCUAAUAAUGGCAAGGCCAUGAGUGUGAGUGCAGAGGCUAUCAUGGCCUCAUAAAGCCCAAGGAUGUUAAGCCCAAAAUCCCAAAGGGUGUCAGCCUCAAGCUCACUUGACUUGCCUACAUUGCCCACCCCAAGCUUGGGAAGCAUGCUUAUGCCCAUAUUGCCAAGGGUCUAAGGCUCUGCCAGCCAAAGGCCAAGACCAAGGAUUAAACCAAGGCCCAGGCUGCAGCUUCAGCUCCAGCUACAGGUCUAGCUCCAGCUCUGGCUCAGGCUCCCAAAGGUGCCCAGAUCCCCACAAAGACUUUGGAA